rnacentral:rRNA from 1 species
GACGAACGCUGGCGGCGCGCCUAACACAUGCAAGUCGAACGGAGUCAAGAGGAGCUUGCUUUUCUUGACUUAGUGGCGAACGGGUGAGUAACGCGUGAUUAACCUGCCCUGGAGUGGGGGACAACAGUUGGAAACGACUGCUAAUACCGCAUAAGCCCACGGAUCCGCAUGGAUCUGCGGGAAAAUGAUUUAUUCGCUUCAGGAUGGACUCGCGUCCAAUUAGCUAGUUGGUGAGGUAACGGCCCACCAAGGCGACGAUUGGUAGCCGGACUGAGAGGAUGAACGGCCACAUUGGGACUGAGACACGGCCCAGACUCCUACGGGAAGCAGCAGUGGGGGAUAUUGCACAAUGGGGGAAACCCUGAUGCAGCGACGCCGCGUGGAGGAAGAAGGUUUUCGGAUUGUAAACUCCUGUCGUUAGGGACGAUAAUGACGGUACCUAACAAGAAAGCACCGGCUAACUACGUG